AAACCUUGGAAGAAAAACAUUUAGGAGCAGUUUGAAAUCUCUGUUGUCAAAUACACAAUUUCUCAAAACUCCAAUAGAUAAGCAGUUUACAGCUGCUUCCCCCCAGUUCUGAAAUUAUUGACAGUGGGCAUUUGUCAGCAUUUCCCCCAGAUUUUAUUGCUGACAGUACCAAAAGCAUUCCUGUUCUUCUACAUCUCCUAAGGUAAGACACCCCUUAUACACUGAAUGACACUUUUAACAACUGCUUGUUAUGUGGGAUAUGUGGAACUCAUGGAACCACACUACACAAAGAUGGGAAGGAGUUGCAGUUUAAUGCUGAGGAAUCCUUACUCAGUUUUAAAAUCCAAACUAUUCCUCUACCUUUACCUCAAAACUCCUCUUCACGAUCACACACGGAAAGCCUCUGAGAAGUGCUACUCUGCUAGGCAGUGGAUUUGGCAUCUGGCAAAUUGCCUCUCCUUUUUUU